rnacentral:rRNA from 1 species
AUGAACGCUGGCGGCGUGCCUAAUACCUGCAAGUCGAGCGAACGGACGAGAAGCUUGCUUCUCUGAUGUUAGCGGCGGACGGGUGAGUAACACGUGGAUAACCUACCUAUAAGACUGGGAUAACUUCGGGAAACCGGAGCUAAUACCGGAUGAUAUUUUGAACCGCAUGGUUCAAAAGUGAAAGACGGUCUUGCUGUCACUUAUAGAUGGAUCCGCGCUGCAUUAGCUAGUUGGUAAGGUAACGGCUUACCAAGGCAACGAUGCAUAGCCGACCUGAGAGGGUGAUCGGCCACACUGGAACUGAGACACGGUCCAGACUCCUACGGGAGGCAGCAGUAGGGAAUCUUCCGCAAUGGGCGAAAGCCUGACGGAGCAACGCCGCGUGAGUGAUGAAGGUCUUCGGAUCGUAAAACUCUGUUAUUAGGGAAGAACAUAUGUGUAAGUAACUGUGCACAUCUUGACGGUACGUAAUCAGAAAGCCACGGCUAACUACGUG